GUCCGGUGGGCGGGGUGCUUACACAUGCAAGUCGAACGGUAAGGCCUUCGGGUACACGAGUGGCGAACGGGUGAGUAACACGUGGGUGAUCUGCCCUGCACUUUGGGAUAAGCCUGGGAAACUGGGUCUAAUACCGGAUAGGACCAUGCGAUGCAUGUCGUGUGGUGGAAAGCUUUUGCGGUGUGGGAUGGGCCCGCGGCCUAUCAGCUUGUUGGUGGGGUGAUGGCCUACCAAGGCGACGACGGGUAGCCGGCCUGAGAGGGUGUCCGGCCACACUGGGACUGAGAUACGGCCCAGACUCCUACGGGAGGCAGCAGUGGGGAAUAUUGCACAAUGGGCGCAAGCCUGAUGCAGCGACGCCGCGUGGGGGAUGACGGCCUUCGGGUUGUAAACCUCUUUCAGUAGGGACGAAGCGUGAGUGACGGUACCUACAGAAGAAGCACCGGCCAACUACGCGCCAGCAGCCGCGGUAAUACGUAGGGUGCGAGCGUUGUCCGGAAUUACUGGGCGUAAAGAGCUCGUAGGUGGUUUGUCGCGUUGUUCGUGAAGUCUCACAACUUAAUUGUGAGCGUGCGGGCGAUACGGGCAGACUGGAGUACUGCAGGGGAGACUGGAAUUCCUGGUGUAGCGGUGGAAUGCGCAGAUAUCAGGAGGAACACCGGUGGCGAAGGCGGGUCUCUGGGCAGUAACUGACGCUGAGGAGCGAAAGCGUGGGGAGCGAACAGGAUUAGAUACCCUGGUAGUCCACGCCGUAAACGGUGGGUACUAGGUGUGGGUUUCCUUCCUUGGGAUCCGUGCCGUAGCUAACGCAUUAAGUACCCCGCCUGGGGAGUACGGCCGCAAGGCUAAAACUCAAAGAAAUUGACGGGGGCCCGCACAAGCGGCGGAGCAUGUGGAUUAAUUCGAUGCAACGCGAAGAACCUUACCUGGGUUUGACAUGCACAGGACGCCGGCAGAGAUGUCGGUUCCCUUGUGGCCUGUGUGCAGGUGGUGCAUGGCUGUCGUCAGCUCGUGUCGUGAGAUGUUGGGUUAAGUCCCGCAACGAGCGCAACCCUUGUCUCAUGUUGCCAGCACGUUAUGGUGGGGGACUCCUGAAGAAACUGCCCGGGGUCAACUCCGAAGAAAGGUGGGGGAUAAAGUCAAGUCUUCUUUGCCCCC
rnacentral:rRNA from 1 species